GCCACGUUCCCGCAACUCCAUGUCCUUGGCUUUGAAGCUCUGUGUACCGAACCCUGCCUCAUUGAUGACCCUGCCUCUUCGCCGACUGAUUCUGACACUGCUGCUUGUUUGAACUGCCUCCCUGUGUUUCGACCUUGGACUGAAUAAAGACGCUUCCCGAACUGUACUUGGUCUCAACCUGUUUGCCGUGGGUGACUACCAUGGGCAUGAAGCCUGAGACAACUUUGGUCCUAGGAUCAUCAGGACACACAAACCCCUCCACCAUGAUAAGUAUAUUCUUUGCCAUGGGCCCUAUGAAAGACAGCUGUGCUACCAGCAGCGAAGGAAAAGG